AUUGGCCCUAGAGGCAUUGCAGAUGUGACUGUUGUGUCACAUUGCAUCAGUAGGUAGCAGAGAGGAGAGAGGCUGUGUCUAUGUGCAGUGUUCUGACCUGUGAACAGCUGAAUGAUUAGUAACCUAACAUU